AGAAGCGAGGUUGUAGCUGGCCUUCUCGGAGGCAUCGUGCACGCCCUGCCCGUCCCAUAUCAUACCUGUGAACUUUUUGGUAGGCGGGUUUGUGUCGGCCUCGAAAGGGGUCGACCGGCCCUCCGGCCGUCUUUAUAUACACACCAUACGAGUCUUUAGAAUGUUUGUGCGUCUCGACGCAUCUUAUAUAUAACUUUCAGCGACGGAUCUCUUGGCUCUCGCAUCGAUGAAGAACGCAGCGAAACGCGAUAAGUAAUGUGAAUUGCAGAAUUCAGUGAAUCAUCGAAUCUUUGAACGCACCUUGCGCUCCUCGGUAUUCCGAGGAGCAUGCCUGUUUGAGUGUCAUGAAAUUAUCAACCCCUCCUCCUUCAUCGGCGGUGGGGCUUGGACUUGGAGGCUUUGCGGGCUUUUAACGAGUCGGCUCCUCUCAAAUGCAUUAGCUCGAACCCCUGCGGAUCGGCCGUCGGUGUGAUAUAAUGUCUACGUCGUGGUCGUGAGCGUCGGAUCGGCUUCUGAUGGUCCCCUUUCGGAGGCGGAAUUUGAACUUGUGACCUCAAAUCAGGUAGGACUACCCGCUGAACUUAAGCAUAUCAAUAAGCGGAGGAAAAGAAACUAACAAGGAUUCCCCUAGUAACUGCGAGUGAAGCGGGAAGAGCUCAAAUUUAAAAUCUGGCGGCGUCCUCGUCGUCCGAGUUGUAAUCUGGAGAAGCGACAUCCGCGCUGGACCGUGUCAAGU
rnacentral:rRNA from 1 species